GACGAACCUUGCUAACGUUAUUCGGAAUUACUGGGCUUAAAGGGUGCGUAGGCGGUGCAGAAAGUUGGGUGUGAAAUCCCUCGGCUCAACCGAGGAAUUGCGCCCAAAACUGUUGCACUAGAGGAAGACAGAGGUACGCGGAACUUAGGGUGGAGCGGUGAAAUGCGCAGAUAUCAGGAGGAACACCCGUGGCGAAGGCGGCUCUCUGGGACGGUACUGACGCUGAGACGCGAAAGCGUGGGGAGCGAACAGG
rnacentral:rRNA from 1 species